CCUACGGGAGGCAGCAGUAGGGAAUCUUCCACAAUGGGCGAAAGCCUGAUGGAGCAACGCCGCGUGGGUGAAGAAGGUCUUCGGAUCGUAAAACCCUGUUGUUAGAGAAGAAAGUGCGUGAGAGUAACUGUUCACGUUUCGACGGUAUCUAACCAGAAAGCCACGGCUAACUACGUGCCAGCAGCCGCGGUAAUACGUAGGUGGCAAGCGUUAUCCGGUUUUAUUGGGCGUAAAGGGAACGCAGGCGGUCUUUUAAGUCUGAUGUGAAAGCCUUCGGCUUAACCGGAGUAGUGCAUUGGAAACUGGGAGACUGGAGUGCAGAAGAGGAGAGUGGAACUCCAUGUGUAGCGGUGAAAUGCGUAGAUAUAUGGAAGAACACCAGUGGCGAAAGCGGCUCUCUGGUCUGUAACUGACGCUGAGGUUCGAAAGCGUGGGUAGCAAACAGGAUUAGAUACCCCAGUAGUC
rnacentral:rRNA from 1 species